rnacentral:rRNA from 1 species
UACGUAGGGUGCGAGCGUUAAUCGGAAUUACUGGGCGUAAAGCGUGCGCAGGCGGUUUUGUAAGCCAGAUGUGAAAUCCCCGGGCUUAACCUGGGAAUGGCAUUUGGGACUGCAAGGCUUGAGUUUGGCAGAGGAGACUGGAAUUCCUGGUGUAGCAGUGAAAUGCGUAGAUAUCAGGAGGAAUACCGAUGGCGAAGGCAGGUCUUUGGGCUAGAACUGACGCUCAUGCACGAAAGCGUGGGGAGCAAACAGG